rnacentral:rRNA from 1 species
GGGCUUGACAUCCCACGAACCUGCCUGAAAGGGCGGGGUGCCCGCAAGGGAGCGUGGAGACAGGUGGUGCAUGGCUGUCGUCAGCUCGUGUCGUGAGAUGUUGGGUUAAGUCCCGCAACGGGCGCAACCCUCACCCCUAGUUGCCACCGGGUAACGCCGAGCACUCGAGGGGAACUGCCAGCGUCAAGCUGGAGGAAGGCGGGGAUGACGUCAAGUCAUCAUGCCCCUUACGCCCUGGGCUACACACGUGCUACAAUGGUUAGUACAAAGGGAUGCGAGACCGCGAGGUGGAGCCAAUCCCAAAAAGCUGGCCUAAGUUCAGAUUGCAGUCUGCAACUCGACUGCAUGAAGGAGGAAUCGCUAGUAAUCGCGCAUCAGCACGGCGCGGUGAAUACGUUCCCGGGCCUUGUACACACCGCCCGUCACACCACGAAAGCUGGCUGUACUCGAAGUCGCUGAG